rnacentral:lncRNA from 1 species
UUUUAUGUAAAAAUGUAUUUUAGAAUAGUAAAUUGAUGUGAAAUAUAUGGUUGAAAAAUAAGAAAAAGUUUUUAAUUUACGUGUAAUAUUAUUUUAAUAAAGAAUGUGUGGUUGAAAAGAAGAAAGAGAAAAAUGUAUUUUGAAAAAAAAUAGCUGCCAAACGGGGCCUAAAAUAGGACUCCGAGGACUAUAACUCCAAAAAAUCCACUUUAAAAGCCUUACCACUUGGUAUGCGAGGUAGAAGAAUGCAGGAAGAGUUUGCAUGAAGUAAGAUGCAAACCAUUCCUUUGUCCAUGCUGGCCACAGGCUGUCAAGAUGCAAAUAAAGCAUGCCACUUGUAACGGAAUUAGUUACUAAUAAGCCAACAAGGAACUGCCAUCUGUAGUUUUAUAAAAAGACCAAACUAUCCCAAGGCUCGGAGGAAAAUUUAUAAAUACCCCCCCAUUGAAGACAACUAUGUGUAAUUUAAAUUUCUCCAUCUCAAAUAGCGAUAUUCCCUCAUGUUCCAAUUUGAGCAUUAAAACUAGUGAGUUAAGGAAGUUAAAAUCAUAGCUAUGUGAGUAGGAUUUGUUGAUCAUGUUUAUAUCGUCAACACUAGAUAAGUGUUCAAAAUGCAUUUAUCACCAUCCAAGCCAUCAGUAAGAAAUUACACAACUUGAAAGUUAUAUAUCAAGUCAACUGGAAAAAAUUUACUUGCUAUCUGCAACUUGUUCCAUUUCUGCUUCACCAUCUUCUUUAUUCUCAUCCUCAAACAACAAUUACAUUGAAAUGUCCAGAGUCCUCCUUAUCACUUCCUGACUACCCUAUUAGUUUUACUCAUUGAUUGUGGCUUAGAUGCAAUUUAAAUUGGCACGAAAGCAAACACUCGGAAGGACUACUUACUGAAAUGUUAUCAGUUUGGAGGUUGAAAAGUGAUUCUUUUUAUUCUAAAGCAAGUUUUCUUCAAUUAAUGCUUUGGUGAUCAAGCAAUAUUCAUGGGUUUGAGACACCCCAGUAUUUAACAAGCAGUGUAGUGAUGGCUAGAAGAGCUCUUUUAAGGGCAAUGCAUUUGGCUCUUUAAUUUUUCAAGUUUAGUUGUCAAAUUAAAAUAACAUCUUUGCACUAAAUCAAGAUGUGUUCAAAUUGAUAACUGGGAAAUGAAAAUGCAGUGCCCUUAUUUUUACAGCUAGAGGAUUUGUCAUUAAAACUCAAGUCUUACCGAACAAAGGGAUUAGUGUCUCACUUGUGUUUUCUAUUGUCCUAUGUUCAUACAAAUUUGCAACAAACCUAGACAAAUAGCAUCCCAACUCCCACUAGUAUAACCAAUUCACAUUGUCAUGAUUGGUCAAGAAUUGUUGUUUCCACAACCAAGGGCAACGGUUAAGGGACCAAUAUCCUUCGUCUCUCUAAUCCCCUCAAGAUAAAAAUGUAAGAAAAAUACUUUUAACUAUCAAACAAACAAUCCACCCUCUCCUAACUAUGGUAAGGAGAAAAUGAAAAAUAAUCUCUUUGCAAAACACUGCUUUCUUGUCAGAAAACCAUUAGGCCUAACUAUUUCAGUGAAGGUCGAGUCCUGCAAAAGUGCACAAAGAUAACGUAAAAAGAUAUUGAUAACAGAAGUACAUACAGAUUUGGACUUCAUUGAAGAAACAUUGCCAACACUGCUCACUUCUCUACCGUGGUAAGGCUCAAAGGCUUAAGUCACAGGAUAUACUAUAGAAAAAAAAAAUAAUAAUAAUAAUAAUCAAAUGUGUACAACCUAUUUCUGAUCAGUUACAAUACACUAGGAAAACAUCAUCAAGGCCACACAUUUUCAAAAGAAUCAGAAAGCACAAUAUUUUGUAAAUCUGAUUGUCAAAUACAAAAUCCAACCAGCAUCAACUAACUAACAGGGCAUGCCAACCAUUGUUCUGAGAGUUUGGAGGCAAUAACAAAUAAACCAAGAUCAUCUACUGCUAUGGUUAGAAAUUUGGACUGCCAGGAUAAUACAGAAAGCUUCCAAGAAAAGCCAUAAAAAGGUUUGGAUACAUAAAUUCAUAUUGACCAACUUCAAAAUAUCCUUAUUCGAAAGAAAAAAGUGUUUUGAGUCAAGUAAAAAAAUACUAGCAUAAAAGAUGCCAUUCUCGCACUACAGCAAUUCAAGAAAACAUCACCAAAAAAGAUUAUGUUAACAGGAAUACGAAAUUAAAGUAAGCAAAAAUAGACAAAUAAAAAGACAGUUUUUCUUCCACCUACCAACCCAGUACCAAAGAUACAUCUGGAUAUAUUCGAGUCUUUGCAAUUCGAUUCUGCAAUAAUACAAAUCACAUAGGAAAUGCAGCAGGAUACAAACCCAAUAUAUUUGUCAAAAAGCAUGUGUAAUAUUUGGAAUCAUCUAAAUAAUGUAGUCCUAACCAUUUGUAUUCCGACAAUUCAUAAAAAGGUAUAAUUUUUCCCUGUACAUUAAACAUCGAAAUUGCUACAUUGAAAAAAUACAGGAAUCGAGCACAAAAGCUCAAAGAGCGUCAUAUCCAUUAAUAGGUGCCAAAACGACAUUAUUAAAAGGAGAUUUAGAAGAACAUCAAAAUAAAAGGCAAAACAGUGCAACAACUACAAAGAUGUUAUUUUAAUUUUACAACUAAAUAAAAAAUCAAAUCUACAAAUGAAUUCUAUGCUCAACCAGCGAUCUCAGCAAAAGUUGGCUUAAUUCCAAAAUUCUUUUUACUGAAUUCAAUUUCAGAACUAGUCCACAUGGAGAGUAAAAAUAUAAAGAUUUUUUUUAAAAAUUUGAUCGAGCAACACAUGUUAUACCUUAAAAAAAAUUCAUUUGAAAAUGGUGAAGGCCCUGGAGUUGCUUUCGUAAUUACAGUUCCUUCCCAUCCCAUCUCAUGCUUCCUUCGCCAAUGUCGACUUGCUUGAAUCGUCCGUUUCCGGUCUCAGCUUCAAAUUGAUUCAUCUUCAAAUUGUUUGCAAAAUAAAACCCUAAGCUAAAUACACGCGACGAAUUUACAUAAAUACCCUUCGGUCGCCUUGAAUUAAACACCC